AUACGGAGGAUCCGAGCGUUAUCCGGAUUUAUUGGGUUUAAAGGGAGCGUAGAUGGGUUGUUAAGUCAGUUGUGAAAGUUUGCGGCUCAACCGUAAAAUUGCAGUUGAUACUGGUUUCCUUGAGUACGGUACAGGUGGGCGGAAUUCGUGGUGUAGCGGUGAAAUGCUUAGAUAUCACGAAGAACUCCGAUCGCGAAGGCAGCUCACCGGGCCGGAACUGACACUGAUGCUCGAAAGUGCGGGUAUCAAACAGGAUUAGAUACCCUGGUAGUCCGCACAGUAAACGAUGAAUACUCGCUGUUUGCGAUACACUGUAAGCGGCCAAGCGAAAGCGUUAAGUAUUCCACCUGGGGAGUACGCCGGCAACGGUGAAACUUAAAGGAAUUGACGGGG
rnacentral:rRNA from 1 species